AGAACGAACGCUGGCGGCAUGCCUAAUACAUGCAAGUCGAACGAACACUUCGGUGUUAGUGGCGCACGGGUGCGUAACGCGUGGGAAUCUGCCCUUGGGUUCGGAAUAACAGUUGGAAACGACUGCUAAUACCGGAUGAUGACGAAAGUCCAAAGAUUUAUCGCCCAGGGAUGAGCCCGCGUAGGAUUAGCUAGUUGGUGAGGUAAAGGCUCACCAAGGCGACGAUCCUUAGCUGGUCUGAGAGGAUGAUCAGCCACACUGGGACUGAGACACGGCCCAGACUCCGUACGGGAGCAGCAGUAGGGAAUAUAGGACAAUGGGCGCAAGCCUGAUACCAGCAAUGCCGCGUGAGUGAUGAA
rnacentral:rRNA from 1 species